GGCGCACUGUGUCGGCGACGCCGAGGCGCUUCUGCAUCUGUGGGCUGAGCAUUCUUGAGGUCAUCUGAACCUUCUGACUAAGAAAACAUGGUCAACGUCUUGAAAGGAGUGCUUAUAGAAUGUGAUCCUGCCAUGAAGCAGUUUCUGCUGUACUUGGAUGAGUCCAAUGCCCUGGGGAAGAAGUUCAUCAUUCAAGACAUUGAUGACACUCACGUCUUUGUAAUAGCAGAAUUGGUUAAUGUCCUCCAGGAGCGAGUGGGUGAAUUAAUGGACCAAAAUGCUUUUUCCCUUACCCAGAAAUGAAAAUACUCAAUAUGGACCAUUUAGGAAUUAUAAGCAGCAAAUGUGAAAGACUUGCCACUUGAUAGGUGACUGAUUAGACAUAGAGGGUUGUUGUAGGAGCAUGCCACAGGAAAGACCAAGGGAUCAUGAUCAUUUGUUCAGAAAAAAAAGCCCCUGAACUGAUUUUGUUAUACCAUAGAAUUAAAAAAAAAAAAGGCUUUAACAGUUGGCUGUAAUUUGUCUUUUAUUGUCCUUUAUUAAAAUACGAAUCUCAAUGCU